AGUGCAUCAGAUCUGGAGUGCUCGCGGACUCUCAGAAUCCAGCUCUCACCGUGGACCUUCCAAAUCAUGGCCAUCAACCCUCUACUGCCUGCAUCUUACUGAUCCAGCUAUCUCCAGGAUAUUCCAUGAGUCAGAGGCACCCCACUCCCUCCAGGGACUGACACCCCAAAGUGCUUGUGUUCCUGGCUCUGCCUUGGAUAUCAUGCUUCUCCUUCCUCAUGUGCUCGCCACCCACGCUGCUGAAUGUUCUCACGACCUGUCACCUCAACCGGCGACUGUUGACCUUGGUGUCCAUUCUGAAGAAGAUGGCAGUGCAGAAUACAGGCUGGGGACUUACUGCCAGCUCUACCCAACCUGUGGCCCCAGGAAUGCUUGCUUUCUGCCACCAUGAAGUGGACAGUAACGGUGGCUCUCCCUCAUCCAGUUGAUGGGAGAGCCACCCCUGUAAACAGCAUGUGUCAGGACAUGUUGCCUUUCACUGUGUGUGGAAGGGCAGCAUCAGGGGGAAUGUCACCACUGAUAUUCCACAGAGUGUAUGUGUGUGUGUAUGUGUGUGUGUAUGUGUGUGUGUGUGUGUUGGUGAGCUUGCCAGUAUUUUUCCCAAAUGGAAAUGUUAGACACAAAGCCCAACAAAUCAGAAAAAAAGGGAACUUGACUUAAAAAAAAAUAAAAGCAAUAAAAUUUAGCAUCUGAA